UAUGAGUCGAUGACGAGAAGAGUACCCAAGGUUGAACCAUCAAGAGAGCUUUUGGUUGGUGAGAAAAAGCGGUUGACCGCGGGGAAGAUGAUCUCAGAGAAUGGUACGGUCGUAACGGCUAGUACCACGGUGGCAACCGAUACCUUGCAACGUAUAAUUGUACGUAGAGGUUUUAGCGAUGACGCUAAAACGAAGAUGGGUGGUACCACGGUAAAGCGUCCCUAGU
rnacentral:ncRNA from 1 species